rnacentral:rRNA from 1 species
AGUGAACGCUGGCGGCGUGCCUAAUACAUGCAAGUCGAACGGAGUGGCGCACGGGUGAGUAAUAUAUAGCUAAUCUGCCCCUUGCUGGAGGACAACAGUUAGAAAUGACUGCUAAUACUCCAUAGGAAGGGAUGAGACUAUAUCGUAUCAGCUAGUCGGUGGGGUAACGGCCUACCGAGGCUAUGACGCGUAACUGGUGUGAGAGGAUGAUCAGUAACCUUGGAAUGGAGGCACAGUCCAAACGCCUACGGGAGGGAGUAGUAGGGAUUAGUGCGCAAGGGGGGAAAGCCAGACGGGGCAACGCCGCGUGAAGGUUUACACUUUGCGGAGCUUAAACUCCUUUUGUUAGUGAAGCGGUACCUAACGAAUAAGCACCGGCUAACUCCGUGCCAGCAGCCGCGGUAAUUC